rnacentral:tRNA from 1 species
UGGGGGAUCGUCUAACGGCAGGACGCCAGGCUCUGGAUCUGGCUAUCUAGGUUCGAAUCCUGGUCCCCCAG